rnacentral:rRNA from 1 species
CCGGCACGGGUGAGUAACACGUAUCCAACCUGCCGUCUACUCUUGGACAGCCUUCUGAAAGGAAGAUUAAUACAAGAUGGCAUCAUGAGUCCGCAUGUUCACAUGAUUAAAGGUAUUCCGGUAGACGAUGGGGAUGCGUUCCAUAGAUAGUAGGCGGGGUAACGGCCCACCUAGUCUUCGAUGGAUAGGGGUUCUGAGAGGAAGGUCCCCCACAUUGGAACUGAGACACGGUCCAA